GGGGGUGGCGGCGGCGGCGGCCGCGGGCGCGCGGGGCCCGGGCAGCCCCAGCCUCCUGGGAGUCGCCGGCCUGCUGAUCAACUCAGCGAUCGCGGCGGACCAAAGUUUGCGAAGAUGGGUUUCCCAAAGUGAACACCAAUCACAGUUAUAAAACGAACCUUGUAUUAUUCGCUGUUAUCCUCGGCAGUGAGCCAUGGGGUUGACUCCUGGGAUGGAAAGCAACUGUACGUCUGCCCUCUCGCUACCUCACACCCAACCCCACCGCCCCGCACUGUAAACAAAAAGAGUCAAGCCUCCAGAUGAGAAUGCAGACCAGAGGACACCUUAAUUUUGGCUUCGUGAAACCCCAAGCAGAGGACCCAGUUAAGCCAUGCCUGGACUCCUGACCCAGCAAAAUUUAUUUGAAGAGUUCCUCCGAGAUGACAGCAUAAGAAGACCCUGAACUCACCUCCCAUGGACACACUGAUUUUACACCUACAUACAGAGCAAUUUCUCCUGAAGAAGAACUGAGGGCUGAUUGAACAGCUUCUGCACAACCGACAAUAGAGGGACCACGCAGAGACAGUUGUCCUCAUUCUACUCUAAGCCUGUUUCUUCAACUGUAGAAAGAGAAUACAUGCCUACCACUCUGACACCUGAACUUAAAAGGCAAAUGCCCCAAAGGGAAGAGAUGAUCUGGUAUGACAUCAGAGAACCAUGAGAAUGAAAAUGUGAAAGCAUGUCAACAAAAAGAACCUGUGUUUUGGGAGGAGCUGGACUCAAAACUGACACAAGACCCAGAGCAGAGUCCAGUCCUCGAGUUCCACACAGCAUGUGACAAUGGGGAUGAACGCGCUGCCCCCUCCCUGGGAAGAUGAAAGUGCUCUGCGCGGACCUCCCUGGUGGCGCAGUGGUUAAGAAUCUGCCUGCCAGUUCAGGGGACACGGCUUCGAUCCCUGGUCCAGGAAGAUCCCACAUGCCGUGGAGCAACUAAGCCCAUGUGCCACAACUACUGAGCCUGUGCUCUAGAGCCCGAGCCACAACUGCUGAGCCUGCACGCCACAACUACUGAAGCCCGCGCUCCGCAACAAGAGAAGCCACUGCAAUGAGCAGCCCGUGCAUCACAACAAAGAGUAGCCCCUGCUCACCAGAACUAGAGAAAAGCCUGUGCACAGCAACGAAGACUCAACGCAGCCAAAAAUAAAAUAUAAAAUAAAUAAAUAAAUUUUUAAAAAAAGAAAGUGCUCUGUGCAGAAAGGUGCACUUCUCACCCCUCCUCUCUGCAGGAGUCUGAGGUGGGGACGUGAUUACGAGAAGGAAGCUCUCUGACUUUGCCCAUGGGUACUUACAGAACUUAGGCAGGAAUUAGGUGGGGACGUGGUGCUGCACAGAGCAGCCCAUUAGUUUCUCUAGGCUU